GCGAGGGCCCCGGAUGGGAUCAAAGCCCGGGCCUCCAGGACGCCGGACAAGUUCGCCCCCUGCUGGUCAGGCGGAGGCUCGGGCUUCUUUGUCUUCAACUACAGCCCUGGUGACUGUUUCCCAGGAGGAUGCGAGACACAUGCCCAGGAUUCAGCACAGAGCAAGCUCAUGUAAUAUCUAUUGAAUAAACACACAGGAAGGAAUGAGAACCCAUUAGUUCUGAGUGCCACAUUUUAUGAGAGGAGCUGACAAACUAUAGCAUAACCAGAGAUGGCAGCCAGGACCUUGAGUGUUCUGGAGACCUCGUCACCAGACAAAAGGUUAAAAGAACAGAAGAGAUAGACACAGAGAAGAGGAGAUGGAAGAGGCAGCUUGGACAAUUGUUUUGUGAAAUCACACGGAGGAAUAAUAUGAUGAGCUUUGAUUUACAUUGUUCCAGAAGGCAGAAUGGGAGCCAGGGAGCAGAGCUCCCAGGUGGAUCGUAGCUCCAAGCAGAUGGCCAUUCCCCACGGCUGGAACCACCCAGGUAGGGGGCAGGCUGCCUCCUGGGGAGGGCCUCCCCCACCAGAGGGGAUGGCCACUCAGAGGACGGACACCACCAGGGGGAGGGGCACAGGAUGGGCCUGCACCAACUGCUCAGACUACCUGGAAGAUUCCAGAUUCAUCUCUCCCAUGAUGCAGGAGGAGAACAAGUUUUCAUGUGACAUGAGUCCUGUGAGGACCUGAGCAAAACUAUGAAAAGGGAAAAUCCGACUUCAGCGUCCCUCACUUACCUUUUCAGAACCUUAUCAUCUCUGCUUGUAAAACUCCUAACACUAGCAUUCUUGUCUUGGAUGUGAGUAAAGGAAGAAAAGAACUUACUUAAGAGGUUACUGCCUUAAUAUAUGCCAAUCCACACCAUGAAAGAUGGGGCCUCAUGAGACCAACGAGCAGACCUAAUGGUGGGCCUGCAGCUCAGUAGCGUCUGAAUGGGAACGUCCUCUGACCGACCAGCUGACGAGGGCUCCGGCACAGCACUAGUCAGGGGCACGGGGGCUGGACUGGGGGGCAGAGUCCUGGGUCUGAGUCCUGGCUCCGCCUGACACUGACUGCGCCGGUUACGCUGCUGGUUAGUUUCUUAGCUUCUCUGAGCCUCAUUUCCCUCACCUGUAAAACAGGGUUACUGCCCCCCUUGUCGAACACAAACAUGCAAGGAGCAGAGAGAGGCUGUCUGAGGGGGACACAGAAGGAGAAACACCAGCUCUGACCCAGGCAGAGGGCUGCGCUGAGCUCUCCGCCACGCCUGGUCCCUGCCGGGAGCCCGGUGCUCCCUCCUGGCUCCGGGGCUCCCCGGUUCUCUCCCACCAUCCCAGGCAUGCCCAAAGGCUUCCGAACUCACUCCCUCCCACAACCUCUUCCAGCACCCCAGAGGAUUUCCUCCACCUCUGCCCUUUCCAUCCCCAGAGGCAUCUGCCUGCUUCAGAGGGAGACAGUUCCCAUAAAGGAAAAACCAGCUUAGCCAAUUCAGGCCACUAAACCCUUGGGUUUCUUUUUGGCAAAUAAAGGGCUUCGUUAUUCUACUGCAUAGAACUGACUCAGAGCAAAUUAAAACUGAUUUCCACCUCAA